rnacentral:rRNA from 1 species
AUUGAACGCUGGCGGCAUGCCUUACACAUGCAAGUCGAACGGUAACAGGUCUUCGGAUGCUGACGAGUGGCGAACGGGUGAGUAAUACAUCGGAACGUGCCCGAGAGUGGGGGAUAACGAGGCGAAAGCUUUGCUAAUACCGCAUACGAUCUCAGGAUGAAAGCAGGGGACCGCAAGGCCUUGCGCUCACGGAGCGGCCGAUGGCAGAUUAGGUAGUUGGUGGGAUAAAAGCUUAACAAGCCGACGAUCUGUAGCUGGUCUGAGAGGACGACCAGCCACACUGGGACUGAGACACGGCCCAGACUCCUACGGGAGGCAGCAGUGGGGAAUUUUGGACAAUGGGCGCAAGCCUGAUCCAGCCAUGCCGCGUGCAGGAUGAAGGCCUUCGGGUUGUAAACUGCUUUUGUACGGAACGAAAAGACUCUGGUUAAUACCUGGGGUCCAUGACGGUACCAUAAGAAUAAGCACCGGCUAACUACGUGCCAGCAGCCGCGGUAAAAC